UGACAGAUCAAGAUGAUGAUGGAACUCACAUGAGUGGCUUGUUGAUAAACUUGUUUUCUUUUCUGUGGCCUUCGUUACUCAAGCUUCCAUCAUCAUUCCUAAUUGAUUUUGUAACUCCCCUUAUCAAGGUAACGCACGAGACUAAAGAAGCUGAGACAUUUUCCUCACUGCGUGAAUUCAAAGAGUGGAAAGAAAAAGAUAAGGCUCAUGCAACCGAGUG